AUGGGCCACACAUCAAAAAUCAACCAGCAAAACCCUCGUCUUUGUGUCCUUUCUCUAAACCCUCCCUUAACUUCCAUUAAUUUCCAACCAUCAAUCUGAAUCAAGAGAGAGUGAGCAAGAACCCUAACUCUCAAAAACGAAAUUAAAUAGUCAUCGCAACCCACACCGAUCUACAACCUUAAGGCUAUGAGCCUUCAACACCUACUUAACCUACUGGUAAUCUCAAUUCUAGAAGAAGAAGUGAAAUUUCAAGACCUACCGGAAAUGGCGACGGAGACGGCGAUGGAGUCUUAGGAUUGAAUACAUGGCAGGUCUGCUGUUAUGCGUUGACUGCGUUGCAUUAUGGUUGUUAUGCAUUAAUUGUUUUGCCUUGUUAGUGUCUUGACCAGUUUCCUGUGUAAUGGUUGUUUUCUGAUGAACUUGUGGCAAUGCUUAGAAAUGUGCAGGGACAUUUUGGAUGUUUUGUUGCAGGCUGACAUGAUGAUGAUAAGGGUGCAAGCAAGGCAUGUUGCGGGGCUGAUGUCUAUGUGUACAAACAAUUGUGGUAUAAGUCUUUAAAUAAAUCAUGACAUGACUUUAUGGUGGGCAAGGCAAGGCUUAUGGCAUGGAAAUGGAGCAAAAAAUGGAAUUUUCUUGAUCAUGAAGCAACAUUGGACUUUAUGGGCCUUGUAUGAGCGGAAUGCAGCUAGAAUUAGGUUUAGGAUGAAAAACACAAUGGUUGGCUUCGGUCAACUAUUUGACCAAAAAGUCAAUAGGUGACCAAAAUGUCAACUUUUGAAAAAUGUAAUUUUUGGUUUACUUUUGUAAUGAAACGAUGUAUUCUUUUGCUAAAUGAAUGAAAACUAAAAUGUUUGGACGAAAUAAAA